AGUGAACGCUGGCGGUAGGCCUAACACAUGCAAGUCGAACGGCAGCAUAGUAAGAGCUUGCUCUUACGGGUGGCGAGUGGCGGACGGGUGAGGAAUACAUCGGAAUCUACUUUUUCGUGGGGGAUAACGUAGGGAAACUUACGCUAAUACCGCAUACGACCUACGGGUGAAAGCAGUGGAUCUUCGGACCUUGCGUGAUUGAUUGAGCCGAUGUCGGAUUAGCUAGUUGGCGGGGUAAAGGCCCACCAAGGCGACGAUCCGUAGCUGGUCUGAGAGGAUGAUCAGCCACACUGGAACUGAGACACGGUCCAGACUCCUACGGGAGGCAGCAGUGGGGAAUAUUGGACAAUGGGCGCAAGCCUGAUCCAGCCAUACCGCGUGGGUGAAGAAGGCCUUCGGGUUGUAAAGCCCUUUUGUUGGGAAAGAAAAGCAGCAGGUUAAUACCCCGCUGUUCUGACGGUACCCAAAGAAUAAGCACCGGCUAACUUCGUG
rnacentral:rRNA from 1 species